UGACCAUGAUUACGAAUUCGAGCUCGGUACCCGGGGAUCCUCUAGAGAUUGGUUACCUUGUUACGACUUAGUCCCAAUCGCCAGUCCCACCUUCGACAGCUCCCUCCCCACAAGGGGGUUAGGCCACCGGCUUCGGGUGUUACCAACUUUCGUGACUUGACGGGCGGUGUGUACAAGGCCCGGGAACGUAUUCACCGCAGCGUUGCUGAUCUGCGAUUACUAGCGACUCCGUCUUCAUGGGGUCGAGUUGCAGACCCCAAUCCGAACUGAGACCGGCUUUUUGGGAUUAGCUCCACCUCACAGUAUCGCAACCCAUUGUACCGGCCAUUGUAGCAUGCGUGAAGCCCAAGACAUAAGGGGCAUGAUGAUUUGACGUCGUCCUCACCUUCCUCCGAGUUGACCCCGGCAGUCUCCUAUGAGUCCCCACCAUAACGUUGCUGGCAACAUAGAACGAGUGUUGCGCUCGUUGCGGGACUUAACCCAACAUCUCACGACACGAGCUGACGACAACCAUGCACCAACUGUAAACCGACCGCAAGCGGGGCACCUGUUUCCAGGUAUUUCCAGUUCAUGUCAAGCCUUGGUAAGGUUCUUCGCGUUGCAUCGAAUUAAUCCGCAUGCUCCGCCGCUUGUGCGGGCCCCCGUCAAUUCCUUUGAGUUUUAGCCUUGCGGCCGUACUCCCCAGGCGGGGCACUUAAUGCGUUAGCUACGGCGCGGAAAACGUAGAAUGCCCCCCACACCUAGUGCCCAACGUUUACGGCAUGGACUACCAGGGUAUCUAAUCCUGUUCGCUCCCCAUGCUUUCGCUCMUCAGCGUCAGUUAAUGCCCAGAGACCUGCCUUCGCCAUCGGUGUUCCUCCUGAUAUCUGCGCAUUUCACCGCUACACCAGGAAUUCCAGUCUCCCCUACAUCACUCUAGUCUGCCCGUACCCACCGCAGAUCCGGAGUUGAGCCCCGGACUUUCACGGCAGACGCGACAAACCGCCUACGAGCUCUUUACGCCCAAUAAUUCCGGAUAACGCUUGCGCCCUACGUAUUACCGCGGCUGCUGGCACGUAGUUAGCCGGCGCUUCUUCUGCAAGUACCCUCAGCCAACAAAAAUGCUGGCCUUGUUCCCUACUGAAAGAGGUUUACAACCCGAAGGCCGUCAUCCCUCACGCAGCGUCGCUGCAUCAGGCUUUCGCCCAUUGUGCAAUAUUCCCCACUGCUGCCUCCCGUAGGAGUCUGGGCCGUGUCUCAGUCCCAGUGUGGCCGGUCACCCUCUCAGGCCGGCUAA
rnacentral:rRNA from 1 species